CGCGUAGGCGGCCUGGUCAGUCAGGGGUGAAAUCUUUCGGCUUAACCGGAAAAGUGCCUUUGAUACUACCAGGCUUGAGGGAGAUAGGGGCGUGUGGAACUUCCAGUGGAGCGGUGAAAUGCGUUGAUAUUGGAAGGAACGCCGGUGGCGAAAGCGACACGCUGGGUCUCUUCUGACGCUGAGGCGCGAAAGCUAGGGGAGCGAACG
rnacentral:rRNA from 1 species